GGCAGUGUGGCCAAAUGGAAAGAGCACAGGCCUGGGAGUCAGAGGAUCUGGGUUCUAAUCCCAGCUCCGUCA
rnacentral:tRNA from 1 species